rnacentral:sRNA from 1 species
GUAAAUCCAGCAACAGUGUCCAGACGUGAGUGAUAUUCCAGAUUGCGACCAGCGAAUUGCCUACGAAACUUUAUAUGUUAUGGACGACUGAUAAAAUUGAUAGUGCAACACUCUAUAUAACUGGAAGCACAA